rnacentral:lncRNA from 1 species
CGGCACAUUAAUAUCUCUAUGUAAACCCGACGUGUGGGCCUUUCCUCCGUAUUUCCUAAUAACCCGCUGCAGAAAUAGACAAGCACCAAAACUCGUGGAAUUCUAUCAGAUAAAACCCUAAGUCUGGGUGUUGGUUGCAUUUGGAUCCUUUUCCAUGAUUAGUUGAUGGUUAAAUGUGAACAUUAAGGACCGUCAACAAGCUCCCCCAAGCUUAACCUUUGCUCGUUCCUGAGCAAAGAUGAACUCAAGAGUUUCUACAGUGGUUUUAUGCCUUAAAGGUACACAUGUGUUCAAACAAGAUCUCAUCUCUGGGUUAGGGUAAGCUGUUAAGAUUUAAACUUACUCAUUUUAGCUUCCACCAUGGGGCUUGCAACCAUCACUUGUGUCUUGAGUAGUUAAAAGAUAGAACGGUCUAGUCAAGCGCCAUGUCUCUUGUUCUUCGAUUAACUAUAGCUCUGGAGUUUUUGCAGAUUUUCAAAUAAAACUCAGAGAUUCCUUGUAUGACUCUCUCUAGACUCUCUUUUGUGGUAUUUCUGGAUCCUUACCAAGGCAGUAAUGAUGUAUGCCUUCUCUCAAAGUAUAUGGUAUUUUUGGUAUGAGGCUUAGUGGCAUUGCCUUCUCUCUCACCCUACUCUAAUAAGGUUUUGAUAUCUGGAGCUCAUAGGUGGGAGACAACUAAUACAUACUUACAAGACAUUUAUUGCAUAGACAAACUAUGGAUCCAGAAGAACAAGUCAAUAAGUCAAAUCAAGAUGUGCAUGUGUGGUGAAUGAAUGGUGUAUGGUGAUGAUGGUGAUAAUAAUGGUGAAAGUCUAAUUCUACUUGUGCUCUUUUGAGGGGAUACAUACCUUUCUUGCUCUUUUGAAACUUUUUGAGGAGAAUGAGAUGCUCUUAUUUUCUUUUUCUUUUCUCUCAGGUGGGUAUCUUGUACCCCUAAUUCUAUUGUCGGACACUUGUCCAUUUUUACCUCUCGUCUCACUUUUUCUUUUCUUUCGAGGUUCCGGGCACUUGCCCCUUUUUAUUUCCUCAUAUCAUUUUUUAUUCUUCUUCUCUUUUUUGUAGAGCACUCAUCUCUUGAAAUAAUAUAGCAAGUGGUAAUAACCAAGAUAACUUGAGCAUUUAUUUCACAGGGAAAAUAGGAAUAUUUGUGGCUAUUCUCUCUCGGAUUAGGAGUAGAAUAUUUUUAGGUGAUUCUGGAGAUGGAAAUGGGUGGAUAUAUGUGGAUGCAUACUUCUGAAGUAGAAGCAGCAUGUGUGAGUGAACGUGCAAGUGAAUCUUGAUUUAACCACAUGACAAGCUCCUAAGGGUUUACACAUCUUGACCACACUCAAUGCUAAUAAGCAGUAAAAAGUAAAUGUGUGGCUCAAAGUCUAGCAAGCAUGUAUAUAUGGCUGUGGUAGGAAUUUAAACACUCAUCAUACAGGAACUCAUCACGUGAUAUUUUAAAGAUUUUCAAAGAUAAAAUUCUCCAGAAUUCUAGCAUCUCUAGGAACAGAUAAACAGCAGCUCAACGUUCCCAUAUCAUAUCCGUUAACGACUUAGACUUUAGAUCAAGUACUCUUCCCACAAGUUGAUGUUUAGAGCAAAUCUUAAUUUAUAACAGUCAUGCCUAAACUUGAGAGAGAUUUCAAUUUUGAGAACUAGUCAUGGCAGAGCUACUAUUCAUUAUUUCCAUGUGAGAGCUUAUCAUGAGGGUUCAUAGCCAACUUUAUUUAUUUAUUUAUUUAGCAAACUAAGCAACGAUAUAUAUAUAUAUAUAUAAGCACAAAAUCUUUAUUUGGGUUUUUAUGAUUAUGCAUCUUUUUAUUAUUUGAGUAAUGUAAAAACAUGAGUAGAAUACUUAGCUGGAUAAAUGCGGGUGCUCUCCCCCAAGCUGGAUUUUGACGUAAUUUCUCCUGAUGUAGCUAGCACCAUGACAGCGAUUAGGAUGUCCUCCGUCUGCUAGUCUUCUUUGAUCCUUGAAUUCUGUGGAGCUCAAAUAGACAACAAAGCUUUGUGGAACUAGUUAAGUGUUAUCAUAAAUAUCUAGCCUUUAUCAUGUUGAGCCUCCUCAAUAAAUGUUACACUCUUUGGUAGGAUCAUAAAUUUAUUUUUAUAUUUUCAUUUUUAUAGCACAUAAAUAUAUUUAUUUUAUUUUUAUGCCACCACAGUGAAUGUACUUGUGGGUUUUAUGCCAUGAGCAUACUCACAUGGGGCUUACUAUUUUUAACAUUUUUAUUUUCUUUUCAAGAUGAUAUAAACCUGAUUAACUAAGCAAACUACUUUAAAUAAUUGAAAGGAAAAGGAUAACUACCAAGUUUACCUCUUGGCAAGGCGUUCAGUGUUUUUAUGUCCUCCGAACGGGACUCUCCGUUUUCUCAGUCGUCCUGGGAUUCGCUGGAUGGCGUAGUCGGUGGUUCCGGCGGUGCCUCCUCUUCGUGUAUAACUAUCUUCUCUCUACACACCUGACUCAGUGCUACGGUCUCCUCAGGACAGUUCUGUUCAAGUUGUAUGUCUUCAGACCUUACCACUUCUCCUUCGUACUCUGUCCAUCCAUCCUUGAUGAUUUGCCUCCUCUGGUUGCGGUUGUGUUGUCUUCUCUUUGUCCUGACCUGCUUAGAGUCUUCAACUAUAUAGUUAGGGUCAGCAAAAUAGCGGCGUACCUUCUCAGAGGGGAAGUGUAUGUGGACUUCUCCGGUUCCAAUGUAGAUGAUUGCUUUAACGGUGCUAUGGAACGGUCUCCCAAGGACGAUGGGUGGAUCGUACUUGUCUUCUCCCAUGUCAAUAACCUUUUGAAAUGUCUAAUCUGCCAUCUGGAGCUGAAUGUAUGUCGGUUUUAGGGGCUUGGUUCCGAACAGGAGCUGAUAGAUUACUGCGGCCAUAAUGUUGACGCUUGACCCGGUGUCGCAAAGCGCCUUCUGGAAGUUGUAUCCAUUAAUGGAGCACUGGAUGCUUGGCAUACCUGAGUCGUCCUUUUUGGUCAAGAACGGUGAUUUAAGUCGACGAUCUUGACCUCCUUGAACUGUAGUGACCAUCUUAGUUAACUCGGUCCAAAUUUGCUUGUUCCUGUUCCUCCUGUUGGUCCUCUUCCUUGGUUCAUGUCGGGAUUGCUCUGAGAUUUGUGUAGUCUUGUUCUCGAAGGAAAACGUCUCCUUCUUCCCCUUGAUGUAGAAACUGAUCUUGGCAGCACUAGCGUAGAUGACAGCUCCCGAGGUAUUCAGGAAUGGCCCCCCUAGGAUGACGGGUGCCCUCUCAUCAGAACCGGUCUCUAUCACCACGAAGUCUGCUGGGGCGUUUAAGGUACCAACUCAGACAUAGAGGUUCUUCAAUAUUCCCUUUGGGAAACUUAGUGUACGAUCUGCAAGCUGUAAAUACAUGGGUGUUUCUCGUAAAGGAUGUGUAAAGAAUUUUUCAUAGAGUACCUUGGGCAUAAUGUUGACGCUGGAGCCAAAGUCGCAGAGUGUUUCUGGGAAGUCCACCAUGCCGAUGGAGAUCGGGAUGACGGGGUGUCCUGGAUCGCCUCUCUUGACUUGAUUUUGUUGAGGACAGUUGUAGUAGUAGUUGUUGUUGUUAUUGUUGAUGUAGUUUACGUCCUCAAGCAUCUCAGGGUAGUGAUUGCCUGAGUGUCCAGUAUCUCCAGUGUGUUUAUGCUCGUAGAUCUAGGUUCUUCACUUGGUGGAGUCUGGGAGUUGUAAAACUCCUUCAUAUUUUGCUUGAAGUGUACCUGCUCAUAGAGACAAGGUAGAGAUCAAGUGCAUGGGCCCUGUUGGUGGAAAAUACCAACAGAACCAAAAGUGUAUUUGUUCUUCCUCUAACCUUAAGCAUAGUGAGCAAGACAAAGUUGAUGGAUAAUAAGAUCAUGAGUGUGGCAUUUAAAACAUUCGUCAGAUUAGAUCGCUCAACCUAAUGGAAAGAUAAUCUAUCUAUACUUAUGUGUUAUAUAUAUAUAUCUUCCAAAUAUUGAGUGUGCAACAUUUUAGUUCAUAUGACUAAGAGUGUGGGAUCACAAAGGUGGAAGGACUAAACAUAUUGAAUCGAUUGGGUUGGUUAAUCUAGAGUUGUAAAUCAUACAUGUUUGUCUCUUUUAUUUAUGUGAACACCAGAACCAAGGAGAAGCUUAUAGAAGUGAUAGUCAAGUACCUUAAGAUGUUACCUUACUUGAAGAGUGAUGGUACAGUAUCACCUUGUGGAAGCUUUCCUUUCCUAGCAGUUGUGCAUCGUGUUUGUGGCACCCUCCAUGGAUCAUCUCUUGUGAGCUAUGCCUUCCUUGUGUAAAUUGUUAACCUUCAUGUGUCUCUCUCUUUGUCUCCAAUGUGAGUUUAUCUCAGGACUUCCCAGGUCAAUAUUGAAAGUUUUCCUGCAGGGGUUAGUCCAACAAAAUAUCCAAUAUCUACUAUAGCAUACUAUCGGCUCAAAAAUCAACCUAGACACCAUGUCUAAUUUGAUUUAGAAGGGCAUUUUAACCUAGGCAUCAUGCUUAAUUUAAAAUCCCUUGGAAGCAAGAUCAUCAUUCCUAAACUAAGCAUCAUGCUUAAUUAAGAGAUAAAUGAAACUACUCCAAACCUAGACAUAUACUAAGGCAAAUAAAGGUAGCAUGAGAGCAUUUAUAGAGAUCUACUCAAGUGGAGAUGAAGUAGUGUGAUUAGUAUUUAAUAAAUUGAGCAUGUCUCAAAGGUAGGGACAACAAACAUAGCAACAUGGUAAAGGAUGUUUUUAUGUAAAGUACUCCCCCAAGCUUGAAUUUUGGAAAAUUCAAGUUUGGAUGAAUUUAAUUCAAUGUUGUAUGAUGAUUGGUUGGACAUACCUUGUGCUUGUCAUUCAUCCGAUCUUCUUGCUCCAAUCUUGGAAAGGUUAGUGACAAGAAUACCCGAAGGAAUAUUUUACAAUUAUCCUUAUAUGCUCAAUACACAAGGUAAUGUUGCAAAUAAUUAAAAGCUCAUGUUACGAUCUGAUCAGUGCUUAUUUUCGAACAUUAAGCUUGUCCUUGGGAAACCAUCAAUUUAUGUCGGCGAAGUGGUUUCCCCUCCAACGCUGACCUAUAUCAAGAUCAACUCAACGAGAUCUGCAAUAAUUAUUAUAGACAUAUGUAUCGACAACCGCCCUUUAAAGUUUUUAUACAUAGAAAGGAAGAAGGGGUUGGAGAUCUCGAAUGUGGUGAUAUUGGAGAGACCAAAAGAUUGGGAAGAUGUUGCAUAUGAGCAUGGAGCAAAUGAAGUGGCUAUGAAAUAAAUUCCAUGCUCAUUAAUGUUUGGAGUGAAAUCCAUGUGGUAUGGUGAAAAUGGUAAGGUGAGUGUGAUAAAAGGAAAAGAAAAAGGAUACACGGACGACUUGGUUUGAAACUAGCACAGCUACCGUUCCCUGGCAACGGUGCGAGAAAGCUUGUUGGGUAUUUUAAACGCAAACAGAAAAAUCCGCAAGCGCACGGAUACUGAUGUAGCUUUCACCCGGGACUAUUCCAGAGUAUCGAUUUUCCACAGGGAACGUGAGUGUACUAAUUAAGAUUCAAGAUCGCCCAAGGAUAACUAUAUAAUUAUUUUUGGUGGGAAGAGAGGAAGUUUCCUGAGAGUUCUCUAGUUGAUCUAAGAAUCAAGAAUUACUUCAAAGAUUAUUUAUUUCGGGACAUAAGAACACUAACCACAGAAAGAGAUGAGAAGGGGGCUAGGAAGCUCUUACUACGGUCCUACAAACACCGAUCCGAACGAGGUGGAAUACGUCGACCGUUAGGGCUGUCACUACCCUAGGGCUACCACAACAAUCCGCAGGAUUGGGUGCAAUUCCAGGUAUUGCAAGACUAAACACCACGUCUAAUCUAUUAAUUACUACUCUAGCGUUAUAAAGACUAGAGCACUUGAUGCAAGCGGGAAUCCAAUAAAUAACUUGAAUGUAAAUAAAGGUAAUUAAAGAACUCAGGAAUUAUGAAUUGAAGAACUUGAAGAACGAUGAAGAACGAACCAGUUGCUGCAAAAGUAUAAUGUUGAGGAAGAUCCGACAGAACCGGCUCCUCCGCUCUCCUCUUCUCUCUCCCUAUUUUCUACAUUACAACUAGAACGAACUAGAACUAGAACUAGAGGAACUAGAACUAGAUGAACUAGAACUAGAUGAACUAGAACUAGAACUAGAUGAACUAGAGGGAUCCUCUCUACUUGGAUGAAGAAUUGAAACCCUAGCUUUGAUUCUGUAGAAGAGGUAUGCUCACCAAGGGCCAGGGGGCCUCGCUUAUAUUGUCUUUUCAGAUGAAUCUGGGCCGUCGGAUCAAACCGACAUUAAUCGCACGGUUUUCUUUGAUCCCUUAGGUCGGUGGAGCGUGAUCCGCGAAACGGGUCCGAAUUGGACACUGAAGGUGGGAGGGCGCCCAAAGGAGUAGGGCGGGCGCCCUGUCCCUGAGCCCUCUCGGCUUUCCGUUCGUUUUUGUGGCUUCUAGAGUCUUCUAGAUGAUAGAGAAUUGCGCGGCACGUUAAUAUCUCUAUGUAAACCUGACGUGUGGGCCUUUCCUCCGUAUUUCCUGAUAACACCCUACAGAAAUAGACAAACAUCAAAACUCAUGGAAUUUUGUGAGAUAAAACCCUAAGUCUGGGUGUUGGUUGCAUUUGGAUCCUUUUCCAUGAUUACUUGAUGGUUAAAUGUGAGCAUUAAGGACCGUCAACAAGCUCCCCCAAGCUUAACCUUUGCUCGUCCCUGAGCAAAGAUGAACUCAAGAGUUUCUGCAGUGGUUUCAUGCCUUAAGAUAUACAUGCGUUCAAACAAGAUCUCAUCUCUAGGUUAGGGUAACUGUUAAGAUUUAAACUUACUCAUUUUACCUUCCACCAUGGGGCUUGCAACCGUCACUUUUGUCUUGAGCAGUUAAAAGAUAGAACAGUCUAGUCAAGCGCCAUGUCUCUUGUUCUUUGAUUAACUAUAGCUCUGGAGUAUUUGCAGAUUUUCAAAUAAAACUCAGAGAUUCCUUGUAUGACUCUCUCUAGUCUCUCUUUUGUGGUAUUUCUAGAUCCUUACCAAGGCAGUAAUAGUGUAUGCCUUCUCUCAAAGUAUGUGGUAUUUUUGGUAUGAGGCAUAGUGGUAUUGCCUUCUCUCUCACCCUACUCUAAUAAGGUUUUGAUAUCUGGAGCUCAUAGGUGGGAGACAGCUAAUACAUACUUACAAGACAUUUAUUGCAUAGUCAAACCAUGGAUCCAGAAGAACAAGUCAAUAAGUCAAAUCAAGACGUGCAUGUGUGGCGAAUGAAUGGUGAUAACAAUGGUGAUGAUGGUGAUAACAAUGGUGAAAGUCUAAUUCUACAUGUGCUCUUUUGAGGGGAUACAUACCUUCCUUGCUCUUUUGAAACUUUUGGAGAGAAUGAGAUGCUCUAUAUUUUCCUUUUCUUUUCUCUCAGGUGGGUAUCUUGUACCUCUAAUUCUACUGUCGGACACUUGUCCAUUUUUACCUCUCGUCUCACUUUUUUUUCUUUUCUUUCGAGGUUUCGGGCACUUGCCCCUUUUUAUUUCCUCGUAUCUUUUUUUUCUCUCUUUUUUUUAUUAGAGCACUCAUCUCCUAAAAUAAUAUAGCAAGUGGUAGUAACCAAGAUAACUUGAGCAUUUAUUUCACAGGGAAAACAGAAAUGUUUUUGGCUAUUCUCUUCUAGAUAGGAGUAGAUUAAUUUUGGGUGAAUCUAGAUAUGAAAAUGAGUGGAUGUAUGUGGAUGCAUACUUCCGGAGUAGAAGCAGCAUGUAUGAGUGAACGUGCAAGUGAAUCUUGAUUUUAACCACAUGACAAGCUCCUAAGGGUCUACACAGCUUGACCACACUCAAUGCUCAUAAGCAGUAAAGUAAAUGUGUGGCUCAAAGUUUAGCAAGCAUAUAUAUAUGGCUGUGGUAGGAAUUUAAACUCUCAUCAUACAUGAACUCAUCAUGCAACAUUUUAAAUAUUUUCAAAGAUAAAAUUCUCCAGAUUUCUAGCAUAUUUAGGAACAGAUAAAUAGCAGCUCAACCUUCCCAUAUCAUAUCGGUUAAUAACUUAGACUUUAGAUCAAGUACUCUCCCCACAAGUUCAGGUUUAGAGCAAAUCUUAAUUCAUAACAGUGAUGCCUAAACUUGAGAGAGAUUUCAAUUUUGAGAACUAGUCAUGGCAGAGCAACUAUUCAUCAUUUCCUUGUGAGAGCUUAUCAUGAGGGUUCAUAGCAAAUUUUAUUUAUUUAUUUAUUUAGCAAACUAAGGAAAGAUGUAAGCACAAAAUCUUUAUUUGGGUUUUUAUGAUUAUGCAUCUUUUUAUUAUUUGAGUAAAAUAUAAACGUGAGUAGAACACUUAGCUGGAUAAAUGGGGGUGCUCUCCCCCAAGCUGGAUUUUGACGCAAUUUCUUCUGAUGUAGCUAGCAGGUGGCGGAGGUGUUUUUUAAUGUCGGCAGCAUCCUGACAGCGGUUAGGAUGUCCUCUGUCUUCUAGUCUUCUUUGAUCCUUGAAUUCUGUGGAGCUCAAAUAGACAACAAAGCUUUGUGGAACUAGUUAAGUGUUAGCAUAAAUAUCUAUCCUUUAUCAUGUUGAGCCUCCUCAAUAAAUGUUACUCUCUUUAGUAGGAUCAUAACUUUAUUUUUAUAAUUUUAUCUUUAUAGGACAGGAAUAUAUUUAUUUCAUUUUUACGCCACCACAGCGAAUGUACUUAUGGGUUUUAUGCCAUGAGCAUACUCACAUGGGGCUUACUAUUUUUUAACAUUUUUAUUUUUUUUUCAAGAUAGCAUAAACCUGAUUAACUAAGCAAACUAUUUUAAAUAAUUGUAAAGAAAAAGAUAACUACCAAGUUUACCUCUUGGCAAGGCGUUUGGUGUUUUUAAGUCCUCCGAACGGGACUCUCUGUUUUCUCAAUCGUCCUGGGAUUCGCUGGAUGGCGUAGUCGGUGGUUCCGGCAGUGCCUCCUCUUCGUGUAUAAUUAUCUUCUCUCUCUACACCUGACUCGGUGCUACGGUCUCCUCAGGACAGUUUUGUUAAGCUGUAUGUCUUCAGACCUUACUACUUCUUCUUCAUAGUCUGCCCAUCUGUCCUUUAUAAUUUGCCUCCUCUGGUUGCGGUUGUGUUGUCUUCUUCUUGUCCUGACCUGCUUAGAGUCUUCAACUAUAUAGUUAGGGUCAGUAAAAUAGUGGCGUACCUUCUCAAAGGGGAAAUGCAUGUGGACUUCUCUGGUUCCAAUGUAUAUGAUUGCUUUAACGGUUCUGAGGAACUGUCUCCCAAGGAUGAUGGGUGGACCGUACUCAUCUUCUCCCAUGUCAAUAACCUUCAAAUCGUCUGGAGCUGAAUGUAUGUCGGUUUUAGGGGCAUGGUUCCGAAGAGGAGUUGAUAGGUGACUGCGGCCAUUAUGUUGACGCCUGAUCCGGUGUCGUAGAGUGUCUUCUGGAAAGAAUAUCCGUUGAUUCUGCACUCGAUGUUUGGAACACCAGGGUCGUCCUUCUUGAUCAAGAAAGGCGACUUGAGUUGACGAUCUUGACCUCCUUGAGCUACAGUGACCAUCUUAGCUGACUCAGUCCACAUUUGCUUGUUCCUGUUCCUCCUGUUGGUCCUCUUCCUUGGUUCAUGUCGGGAAUGCUCUGAGAUUUGUGUAGUCUUUUUCUUGAAGGAAAAUGUCUCCUUCCUCCCCUUGAUGUAGAAACUGAUCUUGGCAGCACUAGCGUAGAUGAUAGCUCCCGAGGUGUUCAGGAAUGGCCUCCCUAGGAUGAUGUGUGCCCUCUCAUCAGUACCAGUCUCCAUCACCACGAAGUCUGCUGGGGCGUACAAGGUACCAACUCGGACGCAGAAGUUCUUCAAUAUCCCCUUUGGGAAACUUAGUGUCUGAUCUGCAGGCAUGCCGAUGGAGAUCGGGAUGACGGUGCGUCCUGGAUCAUCUCUCUUGACCGGC